CAAGGUCCUUGCUCUCAGGGAGCUUACAUUCUAUUUGGCAGAGACUGACAAUAAGAAAAUAAACAAGCAAUAAAAGGUAACAGUGAGUGAUCAGUGCUAUGCAGAGAAACGAAAUACAGUGAUGUGACACUCAGUGCACAGGUACCUAUCUCAGAUAGUGUAGUCCCAGGAGGCCUCUCUGUGGAGGCAACGUUUAGGCUGAGACCGGAAAGUCAAGAAAAAGUCAGAUCCUGAAUUACAGGGUUGAACAGCUCCAGGAAGAGGGAGCUACAAUAAAAAGGCUCUAAGAGCGAUCACACUUGGCAUGUUUAAGGAAGAAACAGAAAGCAAGGGAGAUAUUGAAUUUAAUCAUCACUGCAUUUUUCAUGACUAUAGUUCCCAUCUGGAAAUGCAAAUUUACAAAUUAAAACAUCAAUAACAUUCUUUCCUAGGAUAACUGAGGAUCUCUCUGCCACAGACUUAAUGCUCCUGUGCAUAAAAGUCCAACAGAAAAUUUUAAGUACCUGUUUAAAGCAAUUUACAAGAUACUGUGGAGAUUCCCAGCAAUAAAGAAUGUACUAUAGUUAAGCUGGAAUCCAACUCCUGAAUUUCUGGAGCCCUGAAGACCACUUAGUCUUACUCACAAGAAUUGAAUGGAAUGUGAAUCUACACUCAGGUGAAGCCAGGGUAUUUUGAACGUCCCUACAAGACUGAAGCACCACUGGGAAAUAAGUAAUAGAGAUGCCAUCAUUGUGGAGGUCAUAAUGCUUGUCCUGAACACGAGGGGUCUCUAGUGAGGCACCAAUUCAGCUCCUCUUCUGUGGAGAGACUACAUGGGUGCUGAAGAAACAAAGACACAACGCAGCUCCUCUCAAAGGAGUUCAGAGCUUAGCAGGGGAGACAGAACCAUGAAUGCAUAGUUACGCAUCAAUGUGCUGCACGAGCACUGAAGCCCAAGCACAAGCGGCCUGAGUCCCAAAAACAUUUGCUGACUGCUGUUCUAUCUAGGAUAUCAUCAGUGUGUAGAUGAUCAGAGUUCAUGUCAGUGUUCCUACAAGCCAAUGAAGGUUCUGAGGAGGCAGGACCAAGAAAUGGAUGUUGAUGUUUAGGAGACUGUAUGUAAUAUGUAAAUAAAAUGAAAAACAGAGAUCUGUGUUCUGAAUGGAAAAAUUCCUACUGAUGCCACCCACUAGUCUGGAACAAGUCAGUCUCAAACAUAACAACAGACACUGGGGAGCUCUCCAACAAAAGAUCACCUCCCAAAGAACAGGAUGGUGUCGAAGACUGAAUGCCAGCCUGAGGAAACAGAAAUACUACAGAAGCACGCCAGAGCCUGCAGUGUCUCCUCGCUGCCUCUCAAUGAACUGCUAAAAGACCAAGAACUCUGCUGAGAGAUAAGAAGAGGGGAGGGUGUGCUGCAGGUGGUGCUGGGAGGCCCAGACCUUCUCCUGACAUCUGGGGCUGGCUACAGGAAACAGAAACAUCACCCAGGCCUUGGCGCGAGACAGGACAGAGGCAGAUUGUGACUCAGAUCUGCAGGUGGAAAGUGGGCCUUUCGUUUUCUCCUAGGGGUAGAGCAAAGCCAGAGGGCUCAGUCAGAGGAAACCUAAGGCAGUUCAUGAUCCCUUCAACUUUAUACCAUUUCCUCAAAACUGCCUCCAAACAGUGGGCAACUGGAAAGGUGGUCUGACCUCCAGUGAUCACACAGUAUGCAUUAUAACAGAAGGCUGUCACUGUCAAUUGCAUGGCUCCCUCACUAUGCAUUCCUUCUAUCAAUUUACGACAACACACUGUAGUGAGUACCUGCACAUUGCUGGGUAUUUUGGCAGACAUUGAUAGUAGAUGAAUAACACCUGGUACUUGACCUUGAGACGCUCACUGCCUAGUGUGGGGAACCAAUGGUUGCAAUAUAAAGUAUUAACUAGAGGGAUAGAGGACUGCCUGAGGAUCUCUGCACUCAGAGGAAGGGCCAUGAGAUCAGCCAGGACAGUAGGGAGGCAGUGACUCAUGAAAUUAGCAAGUGGUGAGAAGAGGGCAGUAGAUUCAGCGGCUGCUAAAAAAGGUUACUGAACUUUUUGUUUCAUCAAUGCCAAGAAAUUAAUCUGUUUUAGCCUCUUUCAUGGCCUCUGUUUGAAAUUUUUUAACUUUUUUUUUUUUUUUAGAUUUAGGGGUACAAGGACAGUUGUAUUGCAUGAGUAUAUCAUAUAGUGGUGAAGCCUGGGCUUUAAGUGCACCUAUCACCCGAAUAGCGUACAUUGUACCCACUAGGUAGUAUUUCAUUUCUCACCCUUCUUCCACCUUUUGGAAUCUCCAGUGUUUGUUGUUCUACUCUGUAUGCCCAUGUGUACUCAUUGUUUCACUCCCACUUAUAAGUGAGAACAUGUGCUUUUGACUUUCUGUUUCUGAGUUGUUUCACUUAGGAUAAUGCAUGUUCCUGUUUUGAUUCAGUCAAAAUCCUGGGGUCAGCACUGACAAUGUGAUUAACCCCUGUCCUAAAUUCACUGCAGAGGAACUGCUCCCAUAUGACUACUUAUUACCACCCAAGCCAGAAACCACAAAGAUAUUCUGACCUCUCCUCCUUCACUCCCCACCAACUGGUGAGUAAGCUAGUCACCAAGUCUUGAUUCUACUUGCAAACAUCUUUGGAAGGGAUCUCUCACUCCACACAGUCUCUGUCAUUGCCAAGUAUACCCAUUACCUCUGCUCUGUCCUACGGCUCAUCAUUCCUCAUCUACAUGCUGCACCAACCUCCUAACUCCCAUUCCUCCCCCUCCUAGUUCACUGCCAUAGCGUAAUCUUUCUAUAUCACGGAUCAUAUUGUGUCCGAAAUUGGUGGGUUCUUGGCCUCACUUACUUCAAGAAUGAAGCUGCAGACCCUCGUGGUGAGCGUUACAGUUCUUAAAGGUGAUGUGUCUGGAGUUUGUUCCUUCUGAUCAUGUUCGGAGUUUCUUCCUUCUGGUGGGUUCGUGGUCUCGUUGGCUUCAAGAGUGAAGCUGCAAACCUUCAAGGUGAGUGUUACAGCUCUUAAGGCAGCGCAUCUGGAGUUGUUUCUUCCUCC
rnacentral:lncRNA from 1 species